rnacentral:lncRNA from 1 species
GGAUGCAAACCCUAAAGUCCCAGGGUCCUUUAAAUAGUGCCAAACGCGUCCCAAAGUGCGCCUGGUCCAAAAGAAUAAAAUCAGAGCAUAAUCAGGGCCCGAUCCACAUGAAAUCAUGCUCAAGCAUCACAAGGAGCUCGCCCAAGCGUGAAUUGAGGCUCAUGUGAGGCUUGGGCGCCAGUUUUGGACGCCUAAGCUUUGGGCGUCCGUCGCCCGGGCGUUGGGGCCGUCGCUCGGGCGACCAAUAGUGAUCCUGGAUGCGCUAUUUUUCGUUCCUGUCGCCUGGGCUUCGGGUUUUGUCCCUUCUUGGUGCAUUUUUGACCCCU